rnacentral:misc_RNA from 1 species
UGGCUCUCGCAUCGAUGAAGAACGCAGCGAAAUGCGAUAUGUAAUGUGAAUUGCAGAAUUCAGUGAAUCAUCGAAUCUUUGAACGCACCUUGCACCCUGUGGCAUACCACAGGGUACGCCCGUUCGAGUGUCACGUAAACCAUCGCCUAAGCAAAAGCUUGCUUCUGCCCUGGCGGAACUGGACGCCUGCCGUUGUUGGCUCGUCCGAAAUGUAUUAGCGAGGGUGGUCUGCCUAAAACUGCUUGGCGUGAUAUUUACUUUUCUCGCCUGUCGGUCGGUCUGGGUGGACGGCUCUGCUCCGAAUCCCGUCGCGUCGACGGAACAUUAUCCAAAGGUUGACCUCGGAUCAGGUAGGGAUACCCGCUGA